rnacentral:lncRNA from 1 species
GCACUAAAGACCACACGCUCCAUUGAACAUUUAUGGCUGCAAAUGGCUCCUCCGUGCAGGGGGCUGCGCAUGCUUAGGGUGAGCUGGCAGGCACUGGUAUUGUUAUUCUUAUUUUACAGGUGAGGACAUGGAAGCACAGGGAGGUUAUGCCACUCGCCCAAAGACAACUAAUCAGUGACAGCUGAGACUUGGACUGCAGAACCUACACUUUAUAACUAUUUUACAGUUCUGGGCGUCACGGAAUCUUGCAUGAAGAGCCCCUAACCUGGCCCGGGUGGAGGUCAGGGAGGUCUUCCUGGAAGAGGGGGUUCUUGGCAGCAACUUGCUGGAUUUGGUGUUCCCUGUUGGUUGGUCAGUCGCUAGACAGUUAUUCACUGAGCUCUGAGAACAGGCUGGGCCCUGCUCCAGGCCUUGGUUGGACAGCAGGGAACAAGGCUGGGGGAAAUGACUCCCGAGAAAAUGGACAUGUGUGACCCUGGGUUCUGGGAAGGCAGGGAGGGAAGACAAGUACCAGAGGCACAGCGAGGGUCUCUCUGGAGCCACAGGGAGAGGGGAGGGAUGCACAGGCCUGGUGUGCUGCAGGGCCUGAGCCUGUGGCUGCUUCUGGCCAGGAAAGAAGCCAACGUUACUUAAAGAAGUUAUUCAUGUAACCAAAUACCACCUGUUCCCCAAAACCCUAUGGAAAUAAAAAAUUAAAAAAAAUAAAAAAGAGUAAGCAACAACAAAAUAAAUAAAUAAAUAAAUUUAAAAAAUAAUAAAAAAAGAAACCCACAUUACCAAGUGUUUGCGAAGUGCCAGGAGCCACCCUAAAAACAGUCCUGUGGGGUGCAGCCAUUGUCAUCUGCAGUUUCAGAUGGCUCUGCUUCCUCAGUGUCAGCAUCAUUCACAGCAGGCAUGUCCCUCCUGCCUCCAAGAGAGUCACCAGCAGCUUCCUCCUCCACAUCUGUGAGUAAAUGAGAGGGUCUAUUCCACCCAAUAACUCAAAUCCCAGUUUCAGGAUUUGACCUGUGGUUGGUCAGACUAGGGACACAAGCCCAUUCCUGAGCCAAUCACUGUGGCUGAAGAGGUGGGAGACACUGAUUGGUCUAAGCCAGUCAAGCACUCUCAAGGCCAAAGUGCAUGGGCAAGAAAUUUAGGACAAGGGGAGGAAGAAAGAAAAGAAAAGAGAAUAUCAAGGAGGCAAAUGACAAAUAAAUACCCACUCCUUUCUUCCCACGAGAGAGAUAUUAUUCCCCCCAUUUCAUGGAGGAGGAAACUGACGAUCAGAGCAGCCAGGAAACAGGAUGGCGUUGUCUGCUGAGGGACGGUGUGUUCCCUGGAGAGGAGAUCCAGCUUGCCAUUGUGGGUUUCUUACAGCAAAAAUCCUGUGUGUACACAUAUGCUGAACAAGGCGCACACAGUCUUCAUACUUCUUUCCCCAAAUCCACUGUUGUACCUCACUCUGGAAACCAAAGAAUACAAAUGGAGAUGAGGCUAAUUUUUGCCCCUCAAAUUGGCAAAGGUGAAUAAAACCAUGUUUCUUGGGUUCUCUCUCUCUCUCUGGCCAUUCACUGUGGGGGAAGUCAGUUCCAUGCCCUGAGUCCAUUCAGGCAGCUUGUGAAGAGGCCCACAUGGCCAAUAGCCAGUGAGGAACUGAGGCCUGCAGUGACCACUUGGAUGAGCUUGGAAGCACGUCCUCCAGCCCCAGUCAAGUCUUGAGGUGAGACCACAGUCCUGGCCAACAGGUGACUACAACAUCACGGGAAACCCAAAGCCAUUCAGCUAAGCCACUCUCAGAUUGCUGAUCCCCAGAAGCUGCAUGAGAUAAUAAAUGUUUGUUGUUUUAA